GACGUAGGUGGCGAACGUUAUCCGGAAUUAUUGGGCGUAAAGGGCGCGUAGGUGGCCUGACAAGUUAUCAGUGGCAAAUCGAGGCUCAACCUCGUGGAAACUGGUAAUACUGUCCGGCUUGAGUGCAGGAGAGGUUAACGGAACUCUAUGUGGAGGGGUAAAAUCCAUAGAUAUAUAGAUGAACACCAAUAAAGGCGAAGGCAGUUAACUAUUCUGUUACUGACACUGAGGCACGAAAGCGUGGGGAGCAAAACGG
rnacentral:rRNA from 1 species